AAACUUUCAACAACGGAUCUCUUGGCUCUGGCAUCGAUGAAGAACGCAGCGAAAUGCGAUACGUAAUGUGAAUUGCAGAACUCCGUGAAUCAUUGAAUUUUUGAACGCACAUUGCGCCACCUAAUAUUUUAGGCGGCAUGCCUGUCCGAGCGUCAUUU
rnacentral:rRNA from 1 species